GCUAGGUGUGGUGGUGCACACCUGUAGUCCUAGCUGCUCUGGAAGCUGAGGCAGGAGGAUCGCUUGAGCCUGGGAGCUCCAGGCUGCAGUGUGCUAUGAUCAUGCCACUGCACUCCAGCCUGGGCAACCCAGUGAGAACCUGUCUUUA
rfam:Gorilla gorilla gorilla genomic chromosome, chr16, whole genome shotgun sequence